rnacentral:lncRNA from 1 species
GUCCUAUUAUACUUGCUAACAGGGCCAACUUUGAGGGUGUGGCUAAUGAAAUAAUCUCUUUCCAGAUCAUCUCGACUGUAAGAACCUUGAGAUCCUGAAUCCCCAGGGAUGCCGCGGCUCCUCUCGUGUGCUGCCGGGCAGGGCACUGGUGCAGGAGCUCCUUGAGUAAUCAC